GGAACUUGAAGCUGCUGACUCUCUCCACUGGUGCUCCAUUGAUGGUGAUUGGACUGUGUUCUCUGUCUUUUCUUCUGAAGUCCACCACAAGCUCCUUUGUCUUACUGACGUUGAGGGAGAGGUUGUGCUCCUGACACCAGUGUACAGCCAAGUUUAAAAACAGUGAUGCCAACCAGGUCAAUCAGAAAACUGUAAGUAGUGUUGACCAGCUAUACUGCCCACAUCUCAACAAGACCAAUCAUGUCAUGUUUAUUCGUAUAGUGCUUUUCACAAUACAUAUUGUUUCAAAGCAGUUUUACAGAAAAUCAUGCUGUAGUGUCUUGACUCUUAAAAGUCCCCAUUUAGCAGUUUUGAUGAAAAACGUCACUGAAAAUCAUGCCUUAAAAAAUUGUCUUCAUGCCCCCAGUGAGCAACCCAAAGGACACAUUAAAUAUAACUGCUGCACUAAUGAUGUAACGCAUUAAAUAUAACUGCUGCAUUAAAGAUGUAAUGCAUUAAAUAUAACUGCUGCAUUAAAGAUGUAACGCAUUAAAUAUAACUGCUGCAUUAAAGAUGUAACGCAUUAAAUAUAACCGCAUUAAAGAUGUAAUGCAUUAAAUAUAACUGCUGCAUUAAAGAUGUAACGCAUUAAAUAUAACUGGUGCAUUAAAGAUGUAACGCAUUAAAUAUAACUGCUGCAUUAAAGAUGUAACGCAUUAAAUAUAACUGCUGCAUUAAAGAUGUAACGCAUUAAAUAUAACUGCUGCAUUAAUGAUGUAACGCAUUAAAUAUAACCGCUGCAUUAAUGAUGUAAUGCAUUAAAUAUAACUGCUGCAUUAAUGAUGUAACGCAUUAAAUAUAACUGCUGCAUUAAUGUUGUAAUGCAUUAAAUAUAACUGCUGCAUUAAAGAUGUAACGCAUUAAAUAUAACUGCUGCAUUAAUGUUGUAAUGCAUUAAAUAUAACUGCUGCAUUAAUGAUGUAACGCAUUAAAUAUAACUGCUGCAUUAAUGAUGUAACGCAUUAAAUAUAACUGCUGCAUUAAUGAUGUAACGCAUUAAAUAUAACUGCUGCAUUAAAGAUGUAACGCAUUAAAUAUAACCGCAUUAAAGAUGUGACGCAUUAAAUAUAACUGCUGCAUUAAAGAUGUAACGCAUUAAAUAUAACUGCUGCAUUAAUGAU